AAUUUACAUUAAUAAAUGUUUAUGUUUUGGCGAGUAUAACUCAGUUAGGUUAGAGUGCUAGGUUGUGAUUCUAGUUGUCAUGGGUUCAAAUCCCAUUAUUCGCCUCUUGUUAGUAAAUCUUAUAAAAGCAUUAAAAGAAUACCUUAACAUUAAUAUUUUAAAGAACGUUUUAAAAACGAAAUAUUAUAACGAAUAUAUUUUUGACUUGUAAUUUUUCUGCUUCUAAAGAAGUUUUAAAAAAUAUAAAAGAAUUUUAAUUGUAAAAUUUAAGUAAGCUAGUGAACUGAACCAUCUAAUUAACUAGUAAAAAAUCAACCGAGAAACCGUAAAUAGUGGCGAGCAAAAGCGGUCUAGACUAUCUUUAAAUUUAUUAACAUAUUUAAAAUUUUACCAAAGAAGGUAGUAUUUUAGAAUAAGUCCUGUAAAAUAUGUUUUUAAUUUUUGAUAUAUAAAAGUAAAACGAUACACGUUAUGUCUUGUUUGAAAAUUGGAGUACUACCUUCAAAGUCUAAAAACUUAUUAAUGUUUGAUAAUAAAAUAGUACCGUGAGGGAAAGGUGAAAUAGAAUUUUUGAAAUUGAAAAGAUCUUGAAAUUUAAUGUUGAUUAUCUGUUGUAGCUUAGCAUAAAGCGACAGCGUACCUUUUGCAUAAUGAAUCAAUGAGUUUAUAUUAAUGGCAAGCUUAAACAAUAAAAAGUGUAGGCUAAAAAAACUUGAGUUUUAAAAUGCGUUCAAAAUAUUUAGUCUUUAAUAUAAAACCCGAAACUAAGUGAUCUAACCAUGAACAGAUUGAAUUUAAAGCGGUAACGCUUAUUGAAGGAUCGAACUCGUGUAUGUGGCAAAAUACUGAGAUGAUUUGUGGUUAGGAGUGAAAGGCUAAACAAACUUAGAGAUAGCUGGUUUUCUGCGAAAUCUAUUUAAGUAGAGCGUUUAAAAACUUGAUUUUAAGGUAGAGCACUGAAUAAAUAAAGGGACUCUAAUAAGUUUACUGAAUUUAAUUAAACUCCUAAUGUAAAAUUAAAAAGAUUUUAAACAGACAGACUUUGUGUGCUAAGAUUCAAAGUCAAAAGGGAAACAGCCCAUAUUAUAUGUUAAGGUCUUCAAAAAUGAUUAAGUGAAAAAGAAAGUGAAAAAAUGUUGAUAGCCUAUAGGUAGGCUUGGAAGCAGCCACCCUUUAAAGAAAGCGUAACAGCUCACAGGUUGAGUUUUUUUGUAUCGAAAAUGUAAAAAGACUAAAAUCGUUUACCGAAACAAUAAAUUUAAACAUUUUGUUUAAAUGGUAGCAGAACGUUUUGUAAAUCAAAGAAGGUUUAUAGUGAUAUAAAUUGGAGAAAUCAAAAAUGAAAAUAUUGAUAUGAGUAGCGACAAACAAUGUAAAAACAUUGUCACCUUAAGUUUAAGGUUUGUAAGAAAAGGCUAAACCUUCUUACGUUAUUCGGUCCCUAAGACGGAAAUGAAAAUUGUAGUUAAUGGGUGAUUUUUAAUCAAAAUUUAAAGUGACAAAACAUAAAACUAAUUUGUAUUGUUGAUUUGAUAUUAAUUAAUUAGUGUUUUCAAGAAAAAGCUUUAUUUUAAUACCGUACACUAAACCGACACAGGUAAACAGAUUUAGUAAAUUAAGGUGCUUGAGUUAAUUAUAUUGAAGGAACUCGGCAAAAUGACUCCGUAACUUCGGGAGAAGGAGUGGCUUUUAAUAUUAUUUUUAAAAGCCGUCACAAAAUCGAGGACAGCGACUGGUUAAUAAAACCACAGGUCUCUGCAAAUUUGAAAAAAGAAGUAUAGAGACUGACGCCUGCCCGGUGCUGCAAGAUUAAAAAUAAAAGUUUUGGCUUUUAUUAUAAUUCCCAGUAAACGGCGGCUGUAAACUUGACGGUCCAAAGGUAGCGAAAUUCCUUGGCAUUUAAUUGGUGUCCUGCAUGAAUGGCGUAACGACUGUCCUACUGUCUCCAAUGUAAUCUCAGUGAAAUUGAAAUGCCUGUGAAGAUGCAGGCUUCUUGUGGCUAGACGGAAAGACCCUGUGCACUUUUACUAUAGUUAUGAAUUGUAACAAAAAAUUUUUAUGUGUAGAAUAUGUGGUAAGUUUUUAAAAAAUCAUAACGCAAGUUAUUAAUUUAAACAUCAAUGAAAUACCACUUUUAAAAAUUUUUGUUACUCAUAAAUUCAAAACAGUUCAUAAUGGGUAGUUUGACUGGGGCGGUGGCCUCCUAAAAUGUAACGGGGGCGUAUUAAGGUAAAUUCAAAUUGAAAAUCCAAUUUAAGAGCAUAAUAGUAAAUUGUUUGCCUGACUGAAAGAUUUACAAAUCAAACAGGGACGAAAGUCGAUUAUAGUGAUCCGGUGGUUUUAAGUAGAAAAGCUAUCGCUCAACGGAUAAAAAGUACGCCAGGGAUAACAGGCUAAUCAUUCUUUAGAGACCCUAUCGAUGGAGUGGUUUGGCACCUCGAUGUUGGAUUAUCGCAUCCUGGAGCUGAAAAAGGUUCCAAGGGUUUAAUUGUUCAUUAAGAAAGGCGGUACAUGAUCUGAGUUUAGAACGAUGUGAAUCAGUUUGGUCCCUAUCUACCACAAGUGUUAUAAAAAUUUAAAAGAGUAAACCCUAGUACGAGAGGACCGGGAAAAAUAAAUCUAUGGUGAAUCGGUUGUUAUAAAAUAGCAUCGCCGAGUAGCUACAUUUAUAAAAGAUAAUUACUGAAUGCAUUUAAGUAAGAAACUAACUUUAAAAAAAAUUUUUAAAAAGACGUAAAAGAUUAUUACGAAAUAGGCUUGGUGUGUAUAAAUUGUAAAAUUCAGCUGACAAGUACUAAAAUUAAAAUUGUUUAAGAUU
rnacentral:sRNA from 1 species